rnacentral:lncRNA from 14 species
UGUAGGAUGAACUGAAACUACAGCAGCACUUCAGCAGAAAAGCAGUGUUGAUGCAGCCUGUUCCUCUCUCAGUAGCAGAGACUAAUUGCAGUGGGAGGUAUUCGUAUUAUACACACAAACCCCCCUGAUGUAUUUCCAAAUUAGCAUGAAAUACUCACUGAAGCUUAGGUACUUUAGUACUGUGAAUCUCACCAGGCUGAAAGAAAGUGCUGCAAGGAGAGGAUAUUUGCUUUGUGUGCUGCAUAGGGAAAUGAGAGCAGCACUCAUAUCCAGGCUGAAUAAAUCCUUCAACGGCAUUCUUUGCUUGUGGCUGUUUGAUGUGGUUCCAGCAGCUUCUAACAGGAGGCAUCCAAACUGCUGGAAGUUGAAAAGGCUGAAACUCCACCACCACAGGAAUCCCGCAUGGCUGUGGGGCAGCCUGGCAGUGCCUUGCAGGACCAGAGAUGCACACACCGCAAGUCCUUCUGCUCUUCUGCUGUGCAGUGUGGCAUCACUUGGAGUGUAUUUCCAAGGGGCUGGGACUGCCAGAGAGCCCAGCAGGAUGGUGACAGGGUGCUGCAGCCAUCACACAGUGAGCACUGGGAGGGCAGUGGGACUGACUGUUUGUCGGAGGGAAACUGCUUGAAGGAACAACAGCAAUAGGCAUGUCCUGGCCCUGGUGAAACAAGCGGUAAUAUGGAACCAAGGCCUUUUCUUACUGCACAGUACUAAUGCAUACUGUUGGAAGAAGUUAGAGAAGGUGAAGGUGAUGGCAGAGACUCAGGACCUCUAGAGCAGGAUCACUCGACACUGUUGUGCCCAUGAGUCUCUCUCUUCAGGUGGUGUCUUGGGAAUGUAUGGUUUCUGUAGGAUUUGUUGUACUUUGUGAGUUGGUUCGUAAUGUCUCUAAGCCCAGCAGUUGGUACCCUGGUGAUUGUGGACAGGCUCUGUCAAAGAAACACAGCAUCACAGAAUCCCAAGGGUUAGAAGGGACCUCGAAAGAUCAUCUAGUCCAACCCCCCUGCAAGAGCAGGGUAACUCAGAAGCUGCAGCCAAAAAAAGGAUGGGUGGCUGGAGAGGACAAGCCCAGCAGAGAUCAGCAGCCUGGUGGCUGUGAGCACCUUUCCUGGAUAGAAGCAAUACCUGCACACAGUGUUGGCCAUUUAUGAGUGUGGUAUCUCCUCCUGCAGCAGGACAUCCUGGGAAGUCCAACUUGGUGGGUGAGUGGGUGGCCGGACACUCCAGCAUCAGUGCCAUCACCUUUUCCUAAGCCCUAGGCUGGCCACAGCACACUGCUGUCCCCACAGACCAAGGCUUUCUCUCUGAUGGCUGUGAAAAUGAAAAGCUGGGCUGAAUUUGGGUGAAAAGCUGUUAGUGGCUGUAGUAACUAAUAGGCAUUUCAGUGCCAGGGUAAAUCAGUAAGUGCUGAUU